UCCAGAAGAAGCUGCAUAUGAGAGCUGUAAUGAGCUGCCCUGGCAGGACUACAAAGGGCUUCAGAGGAGCAGGUACGCCGAGGAUGAGACAACCCGAAGAGAUAAUCAUCACAUGCUGACAAUCACUUGCCAUCAAUUAUCCACACGCUGCUGCUGUCAAUGAAUCACAGCCCCUACCUGGUGGGAGAGUCACUGCUGGUGCCACUGAGGCAUUUCACCAAUAAUGUAUAACGGGGGAGGAGAUGAGACGCUACUUUCAGACCGGCUGUGAGAUUGAUAUGCAAGCCAAAGGGAAAUGCAUUAAAGUAUUUAACUGCUUGGAAAUCCACCAUAAUGAACAUCCAAAGAUGGUGCUGCAAAGACCUGGCAUGUCCAGUGGAAUUCUGGUUGCUCAUACCCAAGACCAAAGAAACCAGCAGGAAAGGGCAGUUUGGACACUGGAUCAGCGGCAAAGUUCAUCUCCUGAGGGGCAGUUUGUCCUGUCUGGCUCAGGGCAGACGGAAAAUAUUCCUCAGUGGAGCCCCAGGAUUUGACCGACCAAACAAUAACACUCGCUUGAAGUGUGUCCAGCAGCCAGGUACACAGCAGCUCUGCUGCCUUCACCAGGGAUGCACC